AUUGAACGCUGGCGGCAGGCCUAACACAUGCAAGUCGAACGGUAACAGGAAGAAGCUUGCUUCUUUGCUGACGAGUGGCGGACGGGUGAAUAAUGUCUGGGAAACUGCCUGAUGGAGGGGGAUAACUACUGGAAACGGUAGCUAAUACCGCAUAACGUCGCAAGACCAAAGAGGGGGACCUUCGGGCCUCUUGCCAUCGGAUGUGCCCAGAUGGGAUUAGCUAGUAGGUGGGGUAACGGCUCACCUAGGCGACGAUCCCUAGCUGGUCUGAGAGGAUGACCAGCUACACUGGAACUGAGACACGGUCCAGACUCCUACGGGAGGCAGCAGUGGGGAAUAUUGCACAAUGGGCGCAAGCCUGAUGCAGCCAUGCCGCGUGUAUGAAGAAGGCCUUCGGGUUGUAAAGUACUUUCAGCGGGGAGGAAGGGAGUAAAGUUAAUACCUUUGCUCAUUGACGUUACCCGCAGAAGAAGCACCGGCUAACUCCGUG
rnacentral:rRNA from 1 species